AUGAUUUUAAUUCUUCUUCUCGCAUCUAAAUCUAAAUCUUCUUCUUCUUCCCUUCUUUCUUUCACUGCUGAGGCUCAGAUUAAAACCCUAACCCUAUCUCUCCAUUCCAUGGACGCUCUCAAUUCCAAUCCUCCCUACGAUCCCUCUCCACAGAACCAUGCGCCGUCAGAGUAUCACAACCCACCGCAACACCAAUCGGAAACCCUGCUUUCCGACGCCAACGGUACCCACCACAGUGCCCACGGAUACACAUCGGAGAACGGCCAAGGCGCUGCCGACAACAAUUCGCACCCUCAGGUUGCGAAACCCUUGGUCUCCGAGAAUGGAUUGACCGGUAAUACACGCAGUGGCACCGACAAGGAUCAAUCUGGCGGCGAAGAGGAAACUACCAGCAAGCGCCGCCGCAGAAGCCGGUGGGACCCGCAGCCCGAUUCCAAUGAUCCGAGCGGCGGCGAUUCCGGGGCCGGAGCGAAGAAGAGGAAGUCCCGUUGGGCUGACGACGAGCCUAAGCCGGUGAUUCAGCUACCUGAUUUCAUGGGCGGUAUUGAAUUCGAUCCCGAGAUCCAAGCUUUGAAUAGUAGGCUGCUUGAGAUUAGUCGAAUGCUGCAAUCCGGUUUGCCUUUAGAUGAUCGCCCAGAAGGUGCUCGAUCUCCUUCUCCCGAGCCUAUAUAUGAUAACAUGGGUAUUAGAAUUAACACUAGAGAAUAUCGUGCGCGUGAGAGGUUGCAAAAAGAGAGGCAAGAAAUUAUAUCUCAGAUUAUAAAGAAAAACCCUGCGUUUAAGCCACCUGCUGAUUAUAGGCCACCCAAGCUUCAGAAGAAGCUUUAUAUACCAAUGAAAGAAUACCCUGGUUACAAUUUCAUAGGGCUUAUUAUUGGUCCCAGAGGUAACACCCAGAAGCGAAUGGAGAAAGAAACCGGUGCUAAAAUAGUGAUUCGAGGUAAAGGAUCUGUGAAAGAGGGCAGACUGCAGCAGAAGAGGGAUUUGAAACCUGACCCUUCGGAGAAUGAAGAUUUGCAUGUUUUGGUGGAGGCGGAGACACAGGAAUCGCUUGAUGCUGCUGCGGGUAUGGUGGAAAAGCUCCUGCAACCCGUGGAUGAGGUGUUGAAUGAGCACAAGAGGCAACAGCUUAGGGAGCUUGCUGCAUUAAAUGGGACGAUUAGGGAUGAAGAGUAUUGCCGGUUGUGUGGUGAACCUGGUCAUCGCCAAUACGCAUGUCCUACGAGGACUUCAACGUUUAAGAGCGAAGUUGUCUGUAAGCAUUGUGGGGAUGGUGGCCACCCGAGCAUAGAUUGUCCGGUGAAGGGUGCUACUGGGAAGAAGAUGGAUGAUGAGUAUCAGAACUUUCUGGCAGAGUUAGGAGGUUCAGUUCCUGAAUCUGCAACGAAGCAAACCAGUACGUUGGCAAUUGGUUCAGGCAAUUCUGGAAGCAAUCCUCCUUGGGCAAACAAUUCUGGUACGGCUGGCACUGCACCUCAGGCUGGCUUAGGGGCAAGUGCAGUUAAAAAAGAAAUUGAUGAUACGAAUUUAUACAUUGGGUAUUUGCCACCCACUCUUGAUGACGAUGGCCUGAUCCAAUUGUUUCAACAAUUUGGUGAAAUUGUUAUGGCAAAAGUUAUCAAGGAUCGAAUGUCGGGUUUAAGUAAAGGAUAUGGGUUUGUGAAGUAUGCUGAUGUCACAAUGGCAAACAAUGCAAUCUUGGCCAUGAACGGUUAUCGCCUUGAGGGUCGAACCAUUGCAGUGAGAGUUGCUGGUAGGCCACCUCAGCCUGUUGUACCUCCUGGCCCACCAGCAUCUGCUGUGCCCACUUAUCCUAUUCCAAGCCAGCCACUUGGUGCUUAUCCAUCCCAACAGUAUACUGCUGGUGGCCCCCUUACGAGUGCUCCUCCUGGGAGUUACGGUGGUACCCCUGUUCCAUGGGGACCCCCUGUUCCUCCUCCAUAUGCUCCUUAUGCUCCUCCUCCUCCUGGGUCAACUAUGUAUCCUCCCAUGCAAGGUCAACCCAUGCCUACUUAUGGUGUUCAAUAUCCUCCAGUGCAGACAGCCCCCCCUGGUGCCCCAUCCCAGCCUGCUACUUCAAGUGAAAUACAGCAGAGUUACCCUCCAGGAGUGCAAUCUGACAAUAGUACCUCAACUCAGUCUGUACCAGCCAACGUCUAUGGUAACUCGGUCCCUUCAAUGCCACCAGCAGCGCCACCUACAUAUCCCGCUUCUUAUGGAUAUCCACCUUACUAUAAUGCAGUUCCUCCACCACCUCCUCCUGCUGCCCCAAUGCCUGUCUCAACUUCUGACCAAUCCCACAGCAUUGUAAAUGUUCCUUGGGCCAGUAAUCCUCUAGUUCCACCUCCUGCAUCAUCUGCAGAUCAAUCCCAGGGCAUUGGAAUUGUGCCUAGGGCCACAAAUCCGCCAGUGCCUCCUCCUGCUUCAUCAGCUGAGAAGACUUCAUAUGCUGCUGAUUCAGAGUAUGAGAAGUUCAUGGCAGAGAUGAAAUGAUUUACUUUAAUCGUGAUGCAGAGUUCCAAAAGGUGUGUUUCCCAUAUCUAUUUCUUUUGUGUUUCAUAGUUGAUCUUAUACAUUCUAUAUUUUGAUAUAAUUUAGCACUCCAUUCCUGUUGUGCUUUGACAUCUUAAGCUUGACUCUCUUCUUUUUGUCAUGGGAACCCUUUUAGAUUUGUUGGCUUCACAAUUUCUCUGAUUUUACGAGAUUAGUAUAUAAUUGCCACUUUAGAAAUUAUUUUGGCGGUUGAGAAUCCCAUUUAAACCCUGAGUUGCUUCUGAUAUUGUUCUGACUGGAAACAGGUGGGACCAAGUAUUUUUUGGAUUUGGAUCAGUCCUAACACAUUAGUACUAUUAAAAUGAACUUUUGUUUGCCAAUGUUCAUAGUUAUAUGCUGUUGGUUUCCCUUUUUCAAGUUGGGAUUUUCACAUGCAACAUGAUGGUUAUUGUUUUACUGAUCUACAUUAUGUUCUUCAUCACAUCUUUGCUUUAUUCUUAUUGCAAUAUUUUUUAACCUACUAAAUGUUUCAUACAUUUGUUAUGUAUUAGUUUUCCUUUUAGUUUAUUAUUCUGCAAAUAGAGGGCAAUAUUAGGUGCAAAGGCCUCUAUAGUCUCUCUGGCCCCCUAAGUAAAGAUGUUAUAGUUUACAAAAUGAUUUAUUCAAUGUUCACUGUUAACUUUCUUACACUUGCAUUCCACUUGGUCUUCUGUAUAACUGAAGGGCCCUUACAGAUGAAAAGGGCAAACUGGUAUGACUGUGUAAGUAUAUAAUAUCUACACAAACUUGGAUUUAUUUUCUCCAGCUCAUGUAUUAAUGUGAUGGUGUCCAGUAUCCUUCCUAAUUUUAUGGUGUACAUUUGACCAGAAACUAGUUACAGUUUAAUGGUUCAGGUAUAAAAUUCCCUUCUUGACACAAACCCAAUAAAAGGAACCUCUGUCAACUUCUGUGUAUAGUUUGAUUGUUGAUAUCUAUACAGUAGUGCAUAUGUUGGAAUGCAUUAUCUUGCAGAUUAUCUCCAUUUAUUUUAUUUAUGGUUCUUUUUCUGUUUCUUGAGGGUGUCCAUUCUCAUGCUUUGUUAUCGUGCUUAAAAUCAACAAUGACCUUGUGUCUGUUUAUUUGGUAUUUUAUCAUGAUUUUACCUCUCUUAACCCUUCAUUGUUAUGAUGUAACGUUGUGACAGGCCUGAUGUUUCUUGGAGCUCUUGUGAACCUGAUUUCUUAACCUCUUGCCAUGUCUUUCUUGGAAGUUUGGGACUCACUUCUUUAACCUUGCUGUACUGUUAUGAAAUUUGCAGAGAUUCAGGCUAGAAGUUGAGAAAAGUCUGCAUAUGGCAGAGGCAACAUGAAAAGCUUAUUUUAGUUAUGACUAUUAUUAAUCUUUUUUGUUGUGUAGGACUUAAUACUGUUUGGAUUAUUUUCUGUGGUAUUUUAUUGAUUUACACAGUAAUGUCUGGUUGCUAAUGUUUCUUUUGAAAGUUUGCUUGAACUUUUGUGGCAGCUGGUUCCUGGUGUUUCAUGUCAUACUUUUCUGUUGUCAUUUUCAGUUGAUUUAGCUCAUUCCGAACUGAUUCUAACUUAUUUAUAGUUUUGGUGAUGAGCCUAAAUCUUUAUGUUUGAGGACUCUAGUUCUCUUAAUCGCUCGGUGCUGAAGCUGCCUUUUAGAUGCCUUUAAUGAUGCAUCUCAUUGCAAAGGCAAUUAUCAAGUGUCUCAUUUGUUUCUGGAGUGAUCAUGUGGUCCUGUUGACACGGUCAAUGUUAUUUGGCAUAAGAUGAAGGCUGAGGUGAAAAAUGAUUGUAGAUAGUGUUUAUGAGUUGUCUGCACAUGCUUCGUUUAGCUUUGUUGCGGGGUGAAGAUAGAGUAAACGAUCAAAGAAUUGGAGUUGUAGAAAUUUUCUAUAUUUUCCUGCUUUCAUAUCUGGCUUUUGAAUUAAAACAAACAGCUGUGUUGUAUUGUCACGGGGGAUAUCUAAAAUUACUAAUUCAAAAAUGCAAUAAGGUUAUGCUCAUUAAAUCCACUAGCCUUGCUAGUUCACUAGUGUGCCUGUUCUUUUCAGGUGCAGUCUGUCAAAUAGGAAGUUUAUUUUUCUUCCUAGAAUCUAUUAAGGCCACUUUAGAUUCUUGAAACGUAAUUAGUUUAGACACUUGAACUAAAGCAUGCAUAGAACUUUUUACACAGUU